rnacentral:rRNA from 1 species
AUUGAACGCUGGCGGCAUGCCUUACACAUGCAAGUCGAACGGUAACAGGUCUUCGGACGCUGACGAGUGGCGAACGGGUGAGUAAUACAUCGGAACGUGCCCAGUCGUGGGGGAUAACUACUCGAAAGAGUAGCUAAUACCGCAUACGAUCUGAGGAUGAAAGCGGGGGGCCUUCGGGCCUCGCGCGAUUGGAGCGGCCGAUGGCAGAUUAGGUAGUUGGUGGGAUAAAAGCUUACCAAGCCGACGAUCUGUAGCUGGUCUGAGAGGACGACCAGCCACACUGGGACUGAGACACGGCCCAGACUCCUACGGGAGGCAGCAGUGGGGAAUUUUGGACAAUGGGCGAAAGCCUGAUCCAGCAAUGCCGCGUGCAGGAUGAAGGCCUUCGGGUUGUAAACUGCUUUUGUACGGAACGAAAAAGUCUCCUCUAAUACAGGAGGCCCAUGACGGUACCGUAAGAAUAAGCACCGGCUAACUACGUGCCAGCCGCCGCCGUAA